ACAGUGGUGGUUCAGGGGUAGAAUUCUCACCUUCCAUGCGAAAGACUUGGAUUCAAUUCCUGGCCAAUGUA
rnacentral:tRNA from 1 species